rnacentral:misc_RNA from 1 species
GAUGAAGAACGCAGCGAAAUGCGAUAAGUAAUGUGAAUUGCAGAAUUCAGUGAAUCAUCGAAUCUUUGAACGCACCUUGCACCCUUUGGCAUUCCGAAGGGUAUGCUCGUUUGAGUGUCAUUGUACUCUCACUCUCCCGAUGCUUUUGGAUCGGGAGUGCUGGACUUGGGUGUUGCUGCUUUGCUGUGGCUCGCCUCAAAUGGAGUAGUGCAACUCUUGGUUGGACAUAGUACGGCGUGAUAAGUGUCUUCGCCGGCGCCUCAUUAUAGAGGGUGGCCGAUCGGGAGCUCUGUGCUUCAAACCGUCUUCGGACAACAUCUGACAACUUGACCUCAAAUCGAGUAGGACUACCCGCUGAACUUAAGCAUAUCAAUAAGCGGAGGA